rnacentral:rRNA from 1 species
AUACGGAGGGUGCGAGCGUUAAUCGGAAUUACUGGGCGUAAAGGGUCCGUAGGCGGUCUGCUUAGUCUGAUGUGAAAGCCCCGGGCUUAACCUGGGAAUGGCAUUGGAUACUGGCGGACUAGAGUCUGGUAGAGGGUGGUGGAAUUCCCGGUGUAGCGGUGAAAUGCGUAGAUAUCCGGAGGAACACCAGUGGCGAAGGCGGCCACCUGGACCAAGACUGACGCUGAGGGACGAAAGCGUGGGGAGCAAACAGGAUUAGAAACCCUAGUAGUCC